AUCGGGCACAAGCAACAUAUAUUCCUCUGCCUUCACCCCGACCCUGAGGAGAAGAUAGGCACCUAUGACUGUUUCCAAGAAGGAGCUUUAACUAUUGCAUAAGGUGCAAAAUCCACAAAUUCUUAGAUCCUGCACUUUCUCAUUUUCUUGGCCACCUCGGGUAAGUCCUGACUG